UUUAGCCGGAAACGGUCCCAACUUCGAAAAUAACCAGUGUUGAUUCCACCUUUUCACAUAUUGUAAACCAAUAGAAAUAAAGAGAUUUACGAGGUUAAGUAGUUUAUGCAAAGAAUAUGUAUGAGGUUCUAAUAUUAAUCGCAAGAAAAGAAAUUUGAGAAAGUGUACCUAUACACGAUAUUUUUUGUUAUAUCAAGUGGAGAGUCCUCUUGAGGAACAAUAAGAACCUUUAAAUCGCCUAGUGAGGUGACUCUUGAGAAGGCGACAUAUUGCUGUCCAUGGCUGAAGACUGAAUGUGGUAAAUAAACGCCAAUUUUGGUUAGUGAUUGACCUUGCCUUUUGUUAAUUGUCAUGACGUAGCAUAACUAUACUGGGAAUGGUUUUCUUUUAAAAAAGAAUGGCGGUUCGUCAUUUGUAUGGGUAAGACAUAUUCGUGGUAUAUAUACAUGAUGGUCAAUGGCAAUUCGUGCUAUGACCUGGGCCUCGUUAACUCUAGGUAAUAGCUAUGUGACGAUUAGACUUGUACCAUUACAAAGUCGUGCUGUUUGAUUUAUGUUCCGAAGUAAUAUAAUUGGGGCAUUGACCUUCAAUUCAAGGCGAUGAGGCCGUAAACAAAAAGUAGUUGUUUUGUUUUACCGGUACCUCCAUGCCCGUAAACGAAAAGUAAGACCUGUCUAUUGGACACCAACAUUUGUAUGACCAACUGAUAGAUGGCCUUUUGCUGAGAAUUAAGUUGUGUCCGGUAACACUCAUGGUUGGAGGAAAGCGGAAGCCUAUCAUAAUUCUUCAAACGCCCUUUGAUAUAUACUUGAACAAAUAUUUAAUCAUCAUGUUCCACCUAUAGUACUCAGUGCCUAAUAGUGAAGGCAUGGAUGUCUGUUGUAUGGUACAACGUAAGCAUUAUCUAGUCUAACACCAUUCUUAAGCAUAAAAUGCCCUGUUGAUCGUUUUCUAUAAUGUGUAUAUCCAUUUUUUGUCAAACGUCAUUGUUGCCUCGUAAGAUUUUGGGAACUUCUUUGGGCAAGAGGAUGAUGACAUGCAGGGUGCAUUAAUUAGGCUUGGUGAGGCCACAUGGUCCAUGCAUCUUCAUAACUUUAUACAAUUCUGGUUCAAUGAUGACAUCGGGGAUCUCGGCAGAGAUAUAGUUAUCAAGCUAAUCAGGGUUCCUUAUCUUAUGUGAGGAAGUAACCCAUAGUAGCAAAUGACAAAGAGGGAGUCCUCUUUUUUGAAAUUCAUUGUAUAUAGAUCUACAUACAAUUAACAUACAACAUAAGAUUAAGAUAUCAAAUAUUAAGAAGCAGAUUAAGAUAUCAAAUAUUAAGAAGCAAAGUUUGAGGCUAGACAAAAGUAAGGCUAAAUAACAUAGCUACGUGCAGCUACUUGGCCAAAAGGUUUGCUUGUUUUAAGAAUCUUGAUGAGUGCGCCAACUUUAAUUUGAAAGAUCCUGGCAAUAAUAUCUGAAGUUACACGUGAACAUGGUAAACUACUCGUGAUUUCCCAUGAACUCUACAAAUAUCUAAAGCAUCUUGGUAGUGCUUAUACAUGAAAUGUGGGCUGCCAAAGAAAGAUGAUGGAAGAACAGUUCUUUUUCCAAUAUCACGAUCCUUGGUGUCACCACGAAGAAUAGAAUCAUGAAUACCCUAAAGAUAUUCACUUGUAAAGUUUUUUUCGUUCUAGUCGUAUGUUAUCCCGUUGCAUCCGUGAAUAGCGCAACCAACCGCCCUUAUCAUAUAUGAACAAUAAAGGGUAUUAUAAGGGCAUAUAUAUAUAUAUAUAGGGUAGGGUUCAUGCGAGAACCACCCUUAUUGCGAGAACCGCGAGAACCAAUGUGAACAGGGGGUAAUUUUGUAAAUAUAUAGGGUAGGAUAUCUGCCUCCACUAUCGGACUUCAAACAGAAAUUAAAUUACACUUAAUAAACACUUUCACAUCCACACUCAGAACUCUACACUCAGAACUCGAUCACAUCCAAAUCUUUCCACGUUUCUCAACCUGAUUAUCUCAAAAAUUCGUCGAUUACAAUCGAUUACAUAAUCUUCUCGAAUACAUCUUCAGUUCGCCAUCAUCAUCGUCGAUUACAAUCGGUUACAUAAUCGUCUCGAAUACAUCAUCAGUUCGCCAUCAUCAAUUCACCAUAUCAAAGCAUCUGGAUUGAGAUUUUAUCUCAGAUUUGAGAUUUUACUAGCAGAUAUUUCAUAUUUCGUCAUAUAAUCUAGGUUAGUUCCCCAAAUUCGUACAAAAUUAGUCGUAUAAUCUAUAUUAGGAACAUAAUAAUUAGGGCAACAUUGUGGAUUUUUAAUCCGUUCGUAAUUAGGCCAACGUGCCAAUGUGAUUAUAAUAAUAGAUGAUUCAAUGAGUGUGUCACUAUACGGUAUCGUCGGGAAUCAAUCGCCUUCGGUAUUAAGUGUACAUAUGUAUAGUUAUGCACAUGUGCAUAUCUUACCAUAAUAGAUUUGUUAAUGAUUAAUGUUAUAUAUGGUUAGUGAUAAUACGAAUUUUGAUUUGGUACAGGCUAAGAUUUAUUAUUGAAGCAAGCUAACGAAUUUUGAUUUGGUACAGAUUAAGGUUUAUUAUUAAAGCAAGCUUGCUGAUAAGAAUGGGUGCGCAAGAAAAAAUAAACACAAAAAAGGCAGGCAAUUAAGCGAACUCGUGAUGAAACCUCAAAAAAAGGAGGUUACGUGAUGAAACACAAAAAAGGAGGUGACGGAGUGCGUGCGGUAAAGAACAAGAAGUUGGCAACAUCAACGGUAAUUGCGACGAUUGAUACUGAUGACCAUAUGGUUGUAUUCAGAUUCAACAUAAGGUAUCCAAUAUAGCGUGCCAUUAGGUGUAGAUUGUACAAUAGUUGUAAUUGUCCCUGUAGUGUAGAAUGUACAACACUUGUAAUUGUUCAUGUAUACAUAAAAAGUAAAACAUAUAGCAUUCUGAUUAAUAAGGUAUAUGGCGUGUUUACGCACGUGUUCA
rnacentral:lncRNA from 1 species